UCCCACAGAACUGUUCAUGGUGCUCCUAUUUGCGUGCCUUGCCGCAGCUUCUAGAGUAAGAAAAGGACCCCGCCCGGAUUUUUUCCCGCCUCCUGCAAGCGAUGAUCUAUUGCCAUAGCUAUGAAGAUGAUAUUCCUUGACUGCCAACUACUUAUAUAGGAAGAAAGAUAUUCAUGUAGAAUUUCUACAGAACAGCUGCUAAUGUUACUGAAUUAAAUGAUCUCCCCAACUCCUGU